ACGACAAUGAGCUGUAACUCAUCAUCCUCACACACACGUUUGCUAUAUUAAAUGCACUUUAUCAUGCGUGUGCGUGCGUCUCACCAUAUUAUAAAACCGAUCCAUAUUACCCAAAAAACCCUUCCUUCACUUCACUCAUUCUCCCGCCAUCCAUCACUAACAAUGGAACUACCAGUGAUAGAUCUAUCUUCAUACCUCUCCGCCGUUUCAAACGACCGCGAUCCACGCCUUCAAUCCCUAUGCGCCGAUGUCAGCCGCACCUUAAGUGAAACUGGAGCACUUCUUGUAAAAGAUCCGCGAUGCACUGUCGAAGAUAAUGAUCGUUUCAUUGAUAUGAUGGAAAACUACUUCUCAGCUCCUCAUGAGUUCAAGAUUCGUCAAGAGAGACCUCAUUUGCAUUACCAGGUUGGGGUUACGCCGGAGAGAGUGGAAGUACCGAGAAGUUUGGUGGAUGAAGAAAUGCAAGAGAAAGUGAAAGAAAUGCCUGAAGAACAUCGACCUCAUGUUCCUGUUGGUGCUGAUCUUAAAUGGAGAUAUUUUUGGAGGAUUGGUGAUCGCCCCUCUAAUACUAAAUUUCAGGAACUCAAUGCAGAGCCAGUAAUUCCCGAAGGUUUUCCAGAAUGGAAAGAAACUAUGGAUUCCUGGGGAUACAAAAUGACAGCAGCAAUUGAAGUGGUUGCUGAAAUGGCAGCUAUUGGGUUUGGUCUUCCAAAAGACGCAUUCACGUCUCUUAUGAAGCUGGGCCCGCAUCUGCUAGCUCCAACAGGGAGUGACCUUGAAAAAUAUGGUCAAGUAGGAACUGUUUUUGCAGGAUAUCACUAUGAUCUUAACUUUCUAACAAUUCAUGGUAGAAGUAGAUUUCCUGGAUUGAACAUCUGGUUAAGAAACGGACAAAAAGUUGAAGUGAAGGUUCCAGUAGGUUGUCUUCUUAUUCAGACAGGAAAGCAGAUAGAGUGGUUAACGGGAGGAGACUGCAUAGCUGGCAUGCACGAAGUAGUUGCGACAAACAGGACCAUUGAUGCAAUCAAUGCAGCUAAAGAGCAAAAAAGAAGCUUAUGGAGAGUCUCGUCAACGUUAUUUGCGCACAUAGCAUCAGAUGCGGUUUUGAAGCCCUUGGGACGUUUUGCCGAAUCACCACUAGCAAAAAAAUACCCUCCAAUGUGUGCAGGAGAAUAUGUUGAACAAGAGCUUUCUGUAAUCAAUCUGAAGGGAAAGAAAUGAGAACUCAUUGUUGACAAAUGUAAUAAAAAGUUGAUACAUUCUAAUUUCAUCGGAUUGCACAGCUUUUGUAGCUAUUGGGGUCAAAAACAUAUCAUUUGCAAAUGAGAUAAAUUACAUCAAUGUAAAUUGCAUUGAUGUAAUUUAUAAUUGUGGUUUCAUUUGUUUUACUGUAAUUUAAAGAAAGUGGUGAUUACCCAACUGGUGUAUCUCAUUUAAGUUAUAUAAAUCAUCUCUAACUACAUAGUACAUUCUUGUGCUACUAGUUUCUGCUGAA